AAAUAUGACUGAACAAUAAUAAAAAAUCAUAAAGAAGUAGCUGUCGCCCUCUUGUGUGUAUAGUCUGUGUAGAAUAAAGAAGGGAAACUUUAAAAAAAAUGUAUAAAAGGAAAAGAAGAAGGGCUGGUCACAUGGAAUAAUGAGACAAUGCACUGCCAGAAUAGUCCAUUGAUAAACGUUUCAAUGUCAAGAUAAAGUGAGGAAGAUUCUCAGCAGGAAACUUAUGGGCAGAACUGGACAAGAGGCACACAAGAGAUCAGGUUCACAGCUACUGUUCCUCUUCACUGCCAGUUUGUUUGCAGUGAUAAAAAUAAAGAUUGUGGUAAUAGCUGUGGCAGUGAUACCUCCAGUUACAAGUGAGCCCUGCUAAGAGUAGGGAAAAGAGACUCAGGUAAACAUUGGAGAAUUCCUAUCCAGCAGACAUAGAUCUCCACCAAUAUACUGUUUUAAAGAGAAUCUUGUGAACUUUGCAUAUUUGGAAGAUUUUAGACUUCUUAUCUUCCCUUUGGCAUCCUAGCAGUGUCUCGGAACAGCUGAUAUCAUUGUCUGCAUUGGGAGCCAAAGACAGACAAGAAGCAGAUUCAAAGUUCUACAAAGAGCCUAGAAGAAAAAAAAAAACUGCACCAUACAAGAGCAAAAGGACUUCCAGGAUUUACAAGGACUGCUGCAGCCUUCUGGAUGGGGAAGAAUUUGUGGCUCCAGAAGGCUGCUAUACCAAUGUGACCGAUAUGAAGUGUAAAGUACAUGGCAAGAUUAUUUUUGUUCCUAUUGUAUUUAUUCUCUUUUGUUGUUAAGUGAAGGAGGACAGGAAGCAGAAUAACCCAGUUCCUGGAGAAAAAUCAAUAAAUGUUUUGUUGAAUUGAAUUAAAUUGACCACCAUCAUCUAUGGCACUACCAGCCUUUGCCUGUUGCAGCAAUUGGCAAAAGCCAAGUGUAGCACCAGUUAUCUAAGAGUCUCUUGUCAACUCCACUGGCAGAUUCCAUAAUUAUCAGCAGGCUGGACUAUCCUGGCCCACUCCCAAAUGCUGCGGAAUUAUGUCAUCCUCAACACAACCAUUGAAUGUUAGUAUGUAUGCAUGCA